rnacentral:rRNA from 1 species
AGUGGAUGGGGAGCAACCUAGUUGUGCGUGUGUAAAGGUAGUGCCAAGAAAAGCGGUGAUCAUGAUGAAAAUCAAUUCCCGGUACCCGAAACCGACACAGGUGGGCAAGUAGAGAAUACUAAGGGGCGCGAGGUAACUCUCUCCAAGGAACUCGGCAAAAUGACCCCGUAACUUAGGGAGAAGGGGUGCCACCGAGAGGUGGUCGCAGUGAAGAGGCCCAGGCGACUGUUUAGCAAAAACAUAGGUCUCUGCAAACUCGAAAGAGGAGGUAUAGGGGCUGACGCCUGCCCAGUGCCGGAAGGUUAAAGAAGUUGGUCAGUCUUAGGAUGAAGCUAGCGACUGAAGCCCCGGUGAACGGCGGCCGUAACUAUAACGGUCCUAAGGUAGCGAAAUUCCUUGUCGGGUAAGUUCCGACCCGCACGAAAGGCGUAACGAUCUGGGCGCUGUCUCGGAGAGAGGCUCGGCGAAAUAGGAUUGUCUGUGAAGAUACGGACUACCUGCAUUUGGACAGAAAGACCCUAUGAAGCUUUACUAUAGCUUGGAAUUGUGUUCGGGCUUCCUGUGCGCAGGAUAGGUGGGAGGCGUAGAAGGUAUUCUUGUGGGGAUACUGGAGCCAACGGUGAGAUACCACUCUCAGGAGGCUAGAAUUCUAACUUAAUUAAGGACAGUUUCAGGUGGGUAGUUUGACUGGGGCGGUCGCCUCCAAAAAGGUAACGGAGGCGUACAAAGGUUCCCUCAGACUGGUUGGAAAUCAGUCGAAGAGUGCAAAGGCAGAAGGGAGCUUGACUGCGAGAAGUACAGUUCGAGCAGGGUGGAAACACGGUCUUAGUGAUCCGACGGUGCUGUGUGGAAGGGCCGUCGCUCAACGGAUAAAAGUUACUCUAGGAUAACAGGCUGAUCUCCCCCAAGAGUUCACAUCGACGGGGAGGCUUGGCACCUCGAUGUCGGCUCAUCGCAACCUGGGGCGGAAGUACGUCCCAAGGGUUGGGCUGUUCGCCCAUUAAAGCGGUACGUGAGCUGGGUUCAGAACGUCGUGAGACAGUUCGGUCCAUAUCCGAUGUAGGCGUGAGAAUAUUGAGAGGAGCCUUCCUUAGUACGAGAGGACCGGGAAGGACGCACCGCUGGUGUACCUGUUAUGAUGCCAAUUGUAAACGCAGGGUAGCCAAAUGCGGAGAGGAUAACCGCUGAAAGCAUCUAAGUGGGAAGCCCACCUCAAGAUGAGUAUUCUGGUGUAAGGUCACGGGAAGACGACCCGUAAAUAGGCACGAGGUGGAAGUGCAGAGAUGUAUGAAGCCGAAGUGUACUAAUAGACCGUCGGCUUGACC